GGCUCUAUGGUGUAAUGGAUACACACAUUUCGCGUUAUGGCGGUGCAUAGGCGAAGGAGUAGUGCCUCAAUGAACGGGGGCGCCGGAGCCUCCGGUUCGAUUCCGGACGGGGCCA